ACAUAGAAUUGUUAUGAAAAACCUCGACUAUGGUUAGCUAAUGAGAAAUCAGUUAAAGCUUAAUAUAUUUCAAGCAGAUUUUGUUCGCAGCUUCGCUUGCUUUAGUACUUAGGGGAGACCGGGGCUGGAUGUUACAGGGGUAGGUUGUUACAGUGGCAAUUGCCGCGAAACAGAAAGCGCAAUAGUGACGUUAGAAAGAGACAAAUACUCUUGCCGCCGUCGGCUAGCGUGCCGCGAGAGCCAAAAACGCCAGCAUUUUUGUGAGAAGAGCUCGAGCAUACCUUCAUUAAAAUUGCAGGAUGAGGACGUAUGUACGAAACACUGAGCGGGGAGAAAUAUCUACAGACAUUUCCAAACAAGCGGCAGCUAAAAGACUUUGGAUUAUUUUUAUUCGUAUGCGUUAAAACUGCUGAUUUGUAAGGUUUGCAUAUGAAUUAAAAUCUCGUAAAUCAGCAUUUUUAACAGAUACGCCAGAGAAAAAUGCUUUGGCACUGGAAUAGAGUAAAAAAAGGAAAAAAAAUCCAAGAAAGGAAAGUCAGCCAAAGGGUGGAAAUCUACAGGAAAGAAGAUGGGACAGGAAAAUCAUUGUUUCAUUUUAGAUUAUUAUGUUUUCUUUGUAAUAUAUACUGCUUUCUAGAUGUAUGUUAUGUUAUUUCAAUUAAGAAAAGUAACUAACUAUGAUGAUUGUUCCUAAUAAAAAGUCAUAAUACGUUUGUUUUUUAUUGUAACAACUUGCCCCAUGUAGUGUAACAACCAGCCCCAAGCACGGGGUUGAAUGUUACACGGUUUUUUUUUUCACAAAUCACACAUUUAUGUCAAUACUAUUAGUCUACAAUAUAACUUUUAUUUUAAAUAAUGAUCCUGGAUAGUUAUUUUAUCAAACAAGCCUAUACUCGGGUAAAACAAUCAAACCAAUUAAAAAAUAUGACAGUUUGUAAAAAAAAUUUAUUUAUUUAUUUAUUUACUUAAUCAAUACCCGGGAAGACAUUACAGUUGCCCAAUUCGUCUUCCCAGGCUAUACAUACAUUAGAAUACAUACAUUAGAAUAUACAUACAUUAGAAUAAUACAAACUAUAACAAAAAUAACAUAAAAAAGAAAAAAAAAAAAAAAAAGAAAGAAAGAAAGAAA